AGAGUUUGAUCCUGGCUCAGGAUGAACGCUAGCUACAGGCUUAACACAUGCAAGUCGAACGGAGUAGCAAUACUCAGUGGCAAACGGGUGAGUAACACGUAUCCAACCUGCCUUCUACUCGGGUAUAGCCUUUCGAAAGGAAGAUUAAUCCCCGAUGUUAUAUGUGAUUCACAUGUAUUGCAUAUCAAAGAAUUUCGGUAGAAGAUGGGGAUGCGUUCCAUUAGAUAGUCGGCGGGGUAACGGCCCACCGAGUCUAUGAUGGAUAGGGGUUCUGAGAGGAAGGUCCCCCACAUUGGAACUGCGACACGGUCCAAACUCCUACGGGAGGCAGCAGUGAGGAAUAUUGGUCAAUGGCCGUAAGGCUGAACCAGCCAAGUAGCGUGAAGGAUGACGGCCCUAUGGGUUGUAAACUUCUUUUAUAUGGGAAUAACGUUACCCACGUGUGGGUAUGUGCAUGUACCAUGUGAAUAAGGAUCGGCUAACUCCGUGCCAGCAGCCGCGGUAAUACGGAGGAUCCGAGCGUUAUCCGGAUUUAUUGGGUUUAAAGGGAGCGUAGGCGGGAUCUCAAGUCAGCUGUGAAAUGUAGAUGCUCAACAUCUGCACUGCAGUUGAAACUGGUAUUCUUGAGUGCGUAAGAGGUAGGCGGAAUUCGUCGUGUAGCGGUGAAAUGCAUAGAUAUGACGAAGAACUCCGAUUGCGAAGGCAGCUUACUGGGCCGCAACUGACGCUGAAGCUCGAAGGUGCGGGUAUCAAACAGGAUUAGAUACCCUGGUAGUCCGCACAGUAAACGAUGGAUACUCGCUGUCGGCGAUACAUAGUCGGUAGCCAAGCGAAAGCAUUAAGUAUCCCACCUGGGGAGUACGCCGGCAACGGUGAAACUCAAAGGAAUUGACGGGGGCCCGCACAAGCGGAGGAACAUGUGGUUUAAUUCGAUGAUACGCGAGGCAUGGUUGUCGUCAGCUCGUGCCGUAAGGUGUCGGCUUAAGUGCCAUAACGAGCGCAACCCUUGCCGUUAGUUGCCAUCAGGUCAUGCUGGGCACUCUAGUGGGACUGCCAUCGUAAGAUGUGAGGAAGGUGGGGAUGACGUCAAAUCAGCACGGCCCUUAUGUCCGGGGCGACACACGUGUUACAAUGGUAGGUACAGCGGGAAGCUACCUGGUGACAGGAUGCAGAUCCCGAAAUCCUAUCUCAGUUCGGAUUGGAGUCUGAAACCCGACUCCAUGAAGCUGGAUUCGCUAGUAAUCGCGCAUCAGCCAUGGCGCGGUGAAUACGUUCCCGGGCCUUGUACACACCGCCCGUCAAGCCAUGAGGCGCCUGAAGCCCGUAACCGCGAGGAUCGGUCUAGGGCGAAUCUGGUAAUUGGGGCUAAGUCGUAACAAGGUAGCCGUACCGGAAGGUGCGGCUG
rnacentral:rRNA from 1 species